AUCGCGCCUAAUCAUGCAGUCGAACGGUGGCAGCAAUGUCAUAGUGGCGCACGGGUGCGUAACACGUAACUAACCUACCUAUACCUGGGGGAUAGCCCGCCGAAAGGCGGAUUAAUACCGCAUAAGGCUUGAGAGCGGCAUCGCUUUUUAGUUAAAGAUUUAUUGGGUAUAGAUGGGGUUGCGGGUCAUUAGCUAGUUGGUAAGGUAACGGCUUACCAAGGCAACGAUGACUAGGGGAGCUGAGAGGCUGGUCCCCCACACGGGCACUGAGAUACGGGCCCGACUCCUACGGGAGGCAGCAGUAGGGAAUAUUGGGCAAUGGGCGAGAGCCUGACCCAGCCAUGCCGCGUGCAGGAAGAAGGCUUUCUGAGUCGUAAACUGCUUUUGACAGGGAAGAAUAAGCGGGUCGUGACCCGUGAUGACGGUACCUGCAGAAUAAGCACCGGCUAACUCCGUGCCAGCAGCCGCGGUAAUACGGAGGGUGCGAGCGUUGUCCGGAUUUAUUGGGUUUAAAGGGUGCGUAGGCGGCCUGUUAAGUCCGGGGUGAAAGCCCGUUGCUCAACAACGGGAACUGCCCUGGAUACUGCCAGGCUUGAGUACAGACGAGGUUGGCGGAAUGGACCGAGUAGCGGUGAAAUGCAUAGAUACGGUCCAGAACCCCGAUUGCGAAGGCAGCUGACUAGGCUGUUACUGACGCUGAGGCACGACAGCGUGGGGAGCGAACAGGAUUAGAUACCCUGGUAGUCCACGCCGUAAACGAUGGAUACUCGCUGCGAGCUAAAGAUUGUUCGUGGCUUAGGGAAACCGAUAAGUAUCCCACCUGGGGAGUACGCCGGCAACGGUGAAACUCAAAGGAAUUGACGGGGGCCCGCACAAGUGGUGGAGCAUGUGGUUUAAUUCGAUGAUACGCGAGGAACCUUACCUAGGCUAGAAUGCGCGUGACCGGCUCAGAGAUGAGCCUUUCCUUCGGGACACAAAGCAAGGUGCUGCAUGGCCGUCGUCAGCUCGUGCCGUGAGGUGUUGGGUUAAGUCCCGCAACGAGCGCAACCCCUAUGGUUAGUUGCCAGCACGUAAUGGUGGGGACUCUAGCCAGACUGCCUGCGCAAGCAGUGAGGAAGGCGGGGACGACGUCAGGUCAUCAUGGCCCUUACGCCUAGGGCGACACACGUGCUACAAUGGACGGUACAGCGGGUAGCUACUGGGCGACCAGAUGCCAAUCUCGAAAAGCCGUUCUCAGUUCGGAUCGGAGUCUGCAACUCGACUCCGUGAAGCUGGAAUCACUAGUAAUCGCGCAUCAGCCAUGGCGCGGUGAAUACGUUCCCGGGCCUUGUACACACCGCCCGUCAAGCCAUGAAAGUCUGGUAGACCUGAAGCUGGUGCUCCGCAACGAAGCCAGUUUAGGGUAGAACAGGUAAUUAGGGCUAGUCUA
rnacentral:rRNA from 2 species